CCUACGGGUGGCUGCAGUGGAGAAUAUUGGACAAUGGGGGCAACCCUGAUCCAGCCAUGCCGCGUGUGUGAAGAAGGCCCUCGGGUUGUAAAGCACUUUCAGUGAGGAAGAACGCCUGGUGGUUAAUACCCAUCAGGAAAGACAUCACUCACAGAAGAAGCACCGGCUAACUCCGUGCCAGCAGCCGCGGUAAUACGGAGGGUGCGAGCGUUAAUCGGAAUUACUGGGCGUAAAGCGCGCGUAGGUGGCUUGAUAAGCCGGUUGUGAAAGCCCCGGGCUCAACCUGGGAACGGCAUCCGGAACUGUCAAGCUAGAGUGCAGGAGAGGAAGGUAGAAUUCCCGGUGUAGCGGUGAAAUGCGUAGAGAUCGGGAGGAAUACCAGUGGCGAAGGCGGCCUUCUGGACUGACACUGACACUGAGGUGCGAAAGCGUGGGUAGCAAACAGGAUUAGAUACCCUGGUAGUC
rnacentral:rRNA from 1 species